GGCCAAUGAACGAUACCCGCCCCUCCUCUCUCGGACUUAGCCACGCCCUUCAUUAGUUCCUGAGGGGAUUUUUCAGAACAGAGGUUAUGGCAGUUUCACUAUCCAAUUCCAUUUUUAGCAGGUGUGCUUCCUGACCAAAGAAGUCAGAUGAGUGCAUGAGCAGCCCCUUCAAGGACAAGGCUUGGAUUCCCAGGAGCAGACAAGGAACUCUGUGGGCAUACUCCAAGGAAUCUGGUGAGAACCACAGCCAGCAUUUUGGAUCUUUGCAAAUUUGCCUAAGUGUACAUUGAAAGAAGAAACCUCUAUUCUGGCAACUAGUGCUACAUUCCUUAGGGAGAGCACAGCUCUGCCUGCUUCAAGCUCAAGCUUAGCUAUCGGGAAGCUUCCCCCUGAGACUGGACCUUGGCACCUAACUCAGGACCACUUUACCUCACCUUGAGAGAUAGACUUCCAUCCACCCCAAGAUAGACAAGACUUCCAUCCACCCCACGGCAGAGCUGGGGUUAGAGCAGCGACUUUCAGGCUCUGGAGCACACCAAGAAUGCACACUCCAGUGUUUGUGGGCUGCAGGCAGAACUGAGCAGAGGUUUCUGUUGGCUUCUGUUUGGAGGACUGGGGUCCAAGAGUUGGCUCCAGUUCUCUUCCGUUUGUAGGUAGCUGGUUCCUCUUGGUGCCCUGUGGUCUCUCUCUGCCUCUUCAAGUGUCUGUGACUUUAGGGUCCCUUUCAUAAGGACACCAAUGUCAUUACAAGAGAGACCACCUUUCAGGUUUCCUUGAAUGGAUCACGUGGAAGGCACUGUCUUUAAGUGUCACCUACUAAGUGUCAGGGACUUCAUCCUUCACCAUAUUAAUUGGGUUACAACUUGUCCAAGUGAAGGUAGUGAAGAGAGACUCAUAGGGUCAGAGCAAACCUGACAGAACUAUCUCACCAUGCCCCAUUCUAAUUGGACCAGACUUUGUAAAUGUGUCCCAGGUCUUUCUGGCACUGCUGUCCAUCAUUGUUCUCACAGUAUAGCUCUGUCAUUUACGGGGGAAAACUGAACAAAAGGCAUCUCCUCAGAAAGGAAGAACAAGGCAGUCGACUUUUAGAUGGAAUCCUGUUAUAAAUGGCAGAGACCCUAAGGAAUCUGCUAAAGUUGAGCACACAACAGUGAGUUAUACAAGACCAAUGAAUAUAAGCUCUGUCAGCAGAAAUAAAGCAUUUCUAUAUCCUAGCAGUAAACAAAACAAAAUAGGGGAAAAUUUCUAUGUCGUACACCAACUUUUAUAAAAAUCAAAAAUAUUUUGUAAAUAUUUGGCCAAACACACCCUAAACUUUUAACUAUAGCUUCUAUUUUUGUUUGAAAUCUAGGAAGUAAGUAAAUUUCAUCAAAAUAAUGCAGAAUAAUUCAUAACCAACUGAAUACAUUUAGAAAUCAACAGUAUAGAACUCAUAGGUUUUCAUUACUCAGUAUAUAACUCACAGGUUUUCAAACUCAUACCGUGGGUUUUCUUUACCAAUCAGAGUUUAGAAGUGCAGAUAAUGCUGUCUCCAGGUAGUCACACAUACUCUGUGAGAAGAUUCAGAGAGUUAAUUCUCUAACAGGAGGGUCCGCAUCCCAAUCUGGAGACAGAAUUCCCUUCAAGAAGGUCUAAAUCACUUGCAGGUAUGAGUAGCCCCCUCAGAGGAAGGACUGAAUCUCCUGCAGGAGAGAAUGACAAAAAUGAGAGGAUCCAUAGGAGGAGGGACUUAAUUUCUUCUCUGAUGAGACUGGAGCACCAGCAGGAAUUUGACUCUGCAGUCUGAGAGAUUAUUUUCAGUAUGAUGUUCUGAGUUCCCUGAAUCCACAGCUGGAGCACCGAGCCACUAUCAGGAACACUGCACCUGGACCAGUUGUCUAAGGGAAUUAAAUACGAAUUUCACUUCUUUGGCUUAUAAAAUCCCGCCAUGCUCUAGCUUCCUUCCAACAUCCACCUUUCAUUGCCAACCAUCUCAGCUUCUCCCACAAAGCCUGGCUGCAGGUUAAAGAAAAAAGGUAGUUGAAUUGGAAACAGAAAAUGCUGUUCUGUCCCUGAGACUGGCAUAGGUAAUCUCUGUCCUGUAGACUGAUUGACUGAUGAGACACAUGUGAGUGUUUGCUUUGCAUAGUCUACUGCAGUUGCAAAAGAUUAAAAGAAUGGUAGCUUUCCUUUGAUGGUUGGUCUGCUCCAGUGUGGUGCACAUUUGGUGAGUCAUCCACUAGUGGAACAGAGAUUAAUCCUAAAUAUUUCAUCCUCGUGAUCAGAAGUAUUUAAGGAAUAAUCCAUUAAUGAUACAUCCAUCAGUUGGGUCUGGACAACUUUGUUGUACUGUUUAUGCAUGAUAAAUUCAUCCAUAUUAAUUUUAAUUAAUCUAUAGAUAUAGUAGUCACCUCCUACACCCAAAGACUUGGUAUAAAUACGUGCAAACUCAGGUGAUGAGAUAUGGUUUCUCAGACACCCCCACAGCAUGCCACACUGCAGGGUGGAUGCUGCACAGUUCAGAUGCAGAUGUUUCCUGUUUGGCUGAGUGUUCAGUGUACCCUUCACCUUCUCACAGGCUCUUCUGACACUCUUCUUACACAACCUCCACUGACACUCCAGUUGUUUAUUUUCCUUGGAUUUUUGUUUUGAAGUGUACUGCUCUUUUUUCAGGAUCCCAAUUCUUGAAGGCAUUGUAUCCCCUGCAUAUAAACAGUCUGCCUUGUCUUAAA